UGUCUAUUAAUUGUAGACCAGUAUGAAAGGCAAAAUGAGAACCCAACUGUCUCUUAUAAUAAAUCAAUUAAACUGAUCUCCUAGUACAAAAGCUAGUAUACUAACAUAAGACCAGAAGACCCUGUGAAGCUUUAACUAACCUAUUAAACCUAAUAAUAGCUACUUUUGGUUGGGGCGACCUUGGAAUAAAAAAGAACUUCCAAUUCAUGACCUCCCUCAUAAAAUCAGGCAAACAAGCCAACACCAGACCCAGCACAGCUGAUAAUUGAAAUAAGUUACUCCAGGGAUAACAGCGCUAUCUUCUUCAAGAGCCCAUAUCAAAAAGAAGGUUUACGACCUCGAUGUUGGAUCAGGACAUCCAAGUAAUGCAGCCGUUACUAAAGGUUCGUUUGUUCAACGAUUAACAGU
rnacentral:rRNA from 1 species